CCUACGGGGUGCAGCAGUGGGGAAUAUUGCACAAUGGGGGAAACCCUGAUGCAGCGACGCCGCGUGAGUGAAGAAGUAUUUCGGUAUGUAAAGCUCUGUCAGCAGGGAAGAAAAUGACGGUACCUGACCAAGAAGCCCCGGCUAACUACGUGCCAGCAGCCGCGGUAAUACGGAGGGGGCAAGCGUUAUCCGGAUUUACUGGGUGUAAAGGGAGCGUAGACGGGAGGGCAAGUCUGGAGUGAAAGGCGGGGGCUCAACCCCCGGACUGCUGUGGAAACUGCCAGGCUGGAGUGCAGGAGAGGUAAGUGGAAUUCGUGGUGUAGCGGUGAAAUGCGUAGAUAUUAGGAGGAACACCAGUGGCGAAGGCGGCUUACUGGACUGUAACUGACGUUGAGGCUCGAAAGCGUGGGGAGCAAACAGGAUUAGAUACCCGGGUAUUC
rnacentral:rRNA from 1 species